UUCUGAUUUUUCUGAUUUAUGUGAGAAAGAAGAAACCGUCAAAGAAGUGUUAGGAUCACUAGUAAAGGUUGCAAAACAAAUACGGUUGGAGAAGUUCGAGAUUCCAGCCAAGAUCAAAUUGCUCCCCGAGGCAUGGACUCCAGAUUCUGGUCUAGUCACUGCGGCACUAAAGCUCAAGAGAGAGAACAUCAAAAAGGCAUUUGCUGAUGAUCUCGCGAAGCUGUACAAGUGAAGCUGGGUAAGUUUCGGGAGGGAUUUUCGGUUUUACAAGUCCUGUAGAUUAGAAUAUAUGAACUAAAGUUACGUGUGUUUGCUUAGCUUCAAAUUGCG
rnacentral:misc_RNA from 1 species